AGUUAUAAACUUUAAGAAAAGAUUAUGUUUUGAAAACAUAAUGAAAGGGUUUAAAUCCCUUAUUAACUU
rnacentral:tRNA from 1 species